rnacentral:lncRNA from 1 species
GGACACCAACGACACCUUGACCCCUCGCUUAUAUUGAAGCGGUAAUCUCGGUACAAUCGAUGAUUGAUGCGGUAGAAGACGCCACACACAACUAUGAAUUGUUGUAUGAUAAGUCAAAUUGAAUCUCAAAGAAAUAACUAAAAAACUAUUAAUUCCUUAAGAAUUCUUCAAAGAACCAAAAGUAGAGAAUAACCUCACAAGUUUAUUGAAUAAUGAAUAAUGUAUAUUGUGUUUGAUUACAUCAACUUAGACCUCUAUUUAUACUACUCAAAACAAUCCAAAUCCUAAUAGAAAUUUAU